ACGGAAGGCAGCAGUGGGGAAUAUUGCACAAUGGGCGAAAGCCUGAUGCAGCGACGCCGCGUGAGUGAUGAAGUAUUUCGGUAUGUAAAGCUCUAUCAGCAGGGAAGAUAAUGACGGUACCUGACUAAGAAGCACCGGCUAAAUACGUGCCAGCAGCCGCGGUAAUACGUAUGGUGCAAGCGUUAUCCGGAUUUACUGGGUGUAAAGGGAGCGCAGGCGGUACGGCAAGUCUGAUGUGAAAGCCCGGGGCUCAACCCCGGUACUGCAUUGGAAACUGUCGAACUAGAGUGUCGGAGGGGUAAGUGGAAUUCCUAGUGUAGCGGUGAAAUGCGUAGAUAUUAGGAGGAACACCAGUGGCGAAGGCGACUUACUGGACGAUAACUGACGCUGAGGCUCGAAAGUGUGGGGAGCAAACAGGAUUAGAUACCCUGGUA
rnacentral:rRNA from 1 species